GCCCCCAUGAGUCUCCUCCCCCCAUGAGGCCCCUCCUGGUUCCUGCGCCUCAGCCCCGCCCUUCACUUUCGUUUCUGAGGCCACGCCCCGUAGGACCUGACCAAGCCCGGUACUGAGGCUUCACAAGGCCUCCGCCUGUGCGGCCACUUCCUCUUCCUCCUGCCUCUCCUCUUUUUUGGGGGAGAGGGGCACGCCCUGCCGCUGGCCCACAGACCUCGUGGAUGCCGCAUAGAAUGGCCCGAAGUAAACACGGGGUUCUUUCCCAUAAGGGCCCCGUCCAGGGAUGGGGGUUGAGUCACCUUCUCCCCUGUAGUCUUUGCGGUGAGACCUGUUGGGGGGUGCAGACGCUGAAAAUCCCUUUGGGUUUCUUCCUCCUGGCUCACCGGCCGGACCCAAGUGAUGAGAAGGGGAGUAGGGAGAUGAAUUGUGGAAAGAAAAGAAUGCUGCUGAAUUACUGAGUGCCUAACCGAAGAAAAAUUGGGGAGCAAGAGCAUGACGGGGCACUAAAAUUUUUUGAGGAAGAUUCGUUGUCAGAAAAUAGAAAUGGCUAGAAUCAUCAUCAAAGUGUCAGUCAUUUCAAACUGCCUUUUAAUUACAGUCCUCAGGAUUCCUGGGAGUUUAAAGGAAACAAACGACUCACCUGCUGCAAGUGCUUAGCAUUGUGCUAGAAUAAUUACAGAAGCUAUCUCAAGCUGGGCGUGGUGGUGCACGCCUGUAAUCCCAGCUACUUCGGAGGCUGAGACGGGAGGAUCGCUUGAGCCCAGGAGAGAUCACAACACUGCACUCCAGCCUGGGUGACAGGGUGAGACUCUUCAAAAAAAGGGGCAAGAAUAAUUCAGCAGUAGUUGGUUACAGAGUGAAAAGUACUCCCACUUGAUUUUUAUUUUAUUAUCCUGGACUCGAUUUUAUUAUCAAGUGGGAUUUUUACCUGGGCUUUCAGAAGUUAAGGUAAUUUGCCCAAGGUCACAUGAUUAGUAAAUUAUCAGUUUAGGAUUGAACUCAGGUCACCUGUCUCCCCCAAAGCAUACAGAAUGCAGGUGUGUACAUUUAUCUAAGUGUGUCAAACUGUACAGUUAAAAUGGGUACAUUUAAUGUUACUUAUAACCCAGUUAAGUUGGUUUUUUUCAAUCAUGCAGAAUGAGUGAUGUUAUAAAACUCGUCAAAUAAACCACAUUAUGAUUUCAUACAUGAAAGUA